UACGUAGGGGGCAAGCGUUGUCCGGAUUUAUUGGGCGUAAAGAGCGUGUAGGCGGCUGGGUAGGUCCGCUGUGAAAACUCGAGGCUUAACCUCGAGACGUCGGUGGAAACCAUCCAGCUAGAGUCCGGAAGAGGAGAGUGGAAUUCCUGGUGUAGCGGUGAAAUGCGCAGAUAUCAGGAAGAACACCCGUGGCUAAGGCGGCUCUCUAGUACGGUACUGACGCUGAGACGCGAAAGCGUGGGGAGCGAACAGG
rnacentral:rRNA from 1 species